UACGUAGGGUGCGAGCGUUAAUCGGAAUUACUGGGCGUAAAGAGUGCGUAGGCGGUUCGUUAUGUCUGCUGUGAAAGCCCCGGGCUUAACCCGGGAAUGGCAGUGGAAACUGGCGGGCUUGAGUGUGGCAGAGGGGGGUGGAAUUCCGCGUGUAGCAGUGAAAUGCGUAGAUAUGCGGAGGAACACCGAUGGCGAAGGCAAUCCCCUGGACCUGUACUGACGCUCAUGCACGAAAGCGUGGGGAGCAAACAGG
rnacentral:rRNA from 1 species